UACGGGGGGGCAAGCGUUGUUCGGAAUUACUGGGCGUAAAGGGCUCGUAGGCGGCCAACUAAGUCGGAUGUGAAAUCCCCAGGCUCAACUUGGAAACUGCAUCCGAUACUGGAUGGCUUGAAUUCGGGAGAGGGAUGCAGAAUUCCAGGUGUAGCGGUGAAAUGCGUAGAUAUCUGGAGGAAUACCGGUGGCGAAGGCGGCAUCCUGGACCGACAUUGACGCUGAUGAGCGAAAGCGUGGGGAGCGAACAGG
rnacentral:rRNA from 1 species